CAAAAGGCUCUUUUAAGAGCCACCCACUUCAAACUAAAGGCUAACU
rfam:Larimichthys crocea isolate SSNF unplaced genomic scaffold scaffold285, whole genome shotgun sequence.